rnacentral:rRNA from 1 species
AUUGAACGCUGGCGGCAGGCUUAACACAUGCAAGUCGAGCGGGGAUAGGGUGCUUGCACCUGAUUCCUAGCGGCGGACGGGUGAGUAAUGCUUAGGAAUCUGCCUAUUAGUGGGGGACAACGUUCCGAAAGGGACGCUAAUACCGCAUACGUCCUACGGGAGAAAGCAGGGGAUCUUCGGACCUUGCGCUAAUAGAUGAGCCUAAGUCGGAUUAGCUAGUUGGUGGGGUAAAGGCCUACCAAGGCGACGAUCUGUAGCGGGUCUGAGAGGAUGAUCCGCCACACUGGGACUGAGACACGGCCCGGACUCCUGCGGGAGGCAGCAGUGGGGAAUAUUGGACAAUGGGGGGAACCCUGAUCCAGCCAUGCCGCGUGUGUGAAGAAGGCCUUUUGGUUGUGAAGCACUUUAAGCGAGGAGGAGGCUUACCUGGUUAAUACCCGGGAUAAGUGGACGUUACUCGCAGAAUAAGCACCGGCUAACUCUGUGCCAGCAGCCGCCGUAA